CGCAACAUAUCCUGCAUGUUCAACUGUAGCACAUGCRAUCACAAAAACAUUCCUGAAAGUAUCGCUGUUCUAAUGCAUGCAUGAUGCAUGCGUAGCUGCUCCUGUACUAAUGAUGCCAGAAAAACAAGUUGCACAAAAAAUGGGAUGCCCAAACAUGAAAAGAAAGUCAAUGCAUGGAGCUCCUCUGCCACUGCUGUUGCUGCAAAUAUUCAACAUCAUUGUUCCUCACAGAUGCGGCGCGAGCAAUUUGGCACCUAAAAGUGGAGCCAGUUGAAAACUCCUGAGGAAAGAAGUCAAUGAGAAACCAACUUGCCGCYUUGAUUCAUUCCAAUGUCAUACAGCCCAUCAUCAAUUGCCACAAAAACGCAGACCUCACAUCCCUGUGCUUGUGC
rnacentral:lncRNA from 1 species